UACGUAGGUGACAAGCGUUUGUCCGGAUUUACUGGGCGUAAAGGGCGCGUAGGCGGCCUUCUAAGUCAGACGUGAAAUCCCCCGGCUUAACCUGGGAACUGCGUCUGAUACUGGGAGGCUUGAGUGCGGGAGAGGGAUGCGGAAUUCCAGGUGUAGCGGUGAAAUGCGUAGAUAUCGAGAGGAACACCUGCGGCGAAGGCGGGUAGCUGGGCCGACACGUGACGCUGAUGCGCGAAAGCCAGGGGAGCGAACGGG
rnacentral:rRNA from 1 species